UACAGAGACUGCAAGCGUUAUUCGGAUUCACUGGGCGUAAAGGGUGCGCAGGCGGCCAAGUGUGUGAGGCGUGAAAGCCCGGGGCUUAACCCCGGAAUUGCACCUCAAACUACAUGGCUAGAGCAUUGGAGAGGGUAGCAGAAUUCACGGUGUAGCAGUGAAAUGCGUAGAUAUCGUGAGGAAUACCAGAGGCGAAGGCGGCUACCUGGACAAUUGCUGACGCUCAGGCACGAAAGCGUGGGGAGCGAACAGG
rnacentral:rRNA from 1 species